rnacentral:rRNA from 1 species
AGUGAACGCUGGCGGUAGGCCUAACACAUGCAAGUCGAACGGCAGCACAGUAAGAGCUUGCUCUUACGGGUGGCGAGUGGCGGACGGGUGAGGAAUACAUCGGAAUCUACUUUUUCGUGGGGGAUAACGUAGGGAAACUUACGCUAAUACCGCAUACGACCUACGGGUGAAAGCAGGGGAUCUUCGGACCUUUCGCGAUUGAAUGAGCCGAUGUCGGAUUAGCUAGUUGGCGGGGUAAAGGCCCACCAAGGCGACGAUCCGUAGCUGGUCUGAGAGGAUGAUCAGCCACACUGGAACUGAGACACGGUCCAGACUCCUACGGGAGGCAGCAGUGGGGAAUAUUGGACAAUGGGCGCAAGCCUGAUCCAGCCAUGCCGCGUGGGUGAAGAAGGUCUUCGGGUUGUAAAGCCCUUUUGUUGGGAAAGAAAAGCAGCAGGUUAAUACCCCGCUGUUCUGACGGUACCCAAAGAAUAAGCACCGGCUAACUUCGUG